AAAUUCCACGAAAAAAACGCCACGGAAAAAACCUAGCCUCUGCCAAAACCCCUCAUCCGCAACUCCUCCACCCAAACCCCUCCUCUGCUUUUCGCCUCUCCACUGGAACGAGUCAAGGACAGGGAGUCAUCGCCAUCAGAAGAAUUUGGAAACAAAGAGCAGCCCUCCACAGAAAUCGUACCUCUACUCUGCCGUCUGAACACGAUCGCUUCGAUUCACAAAAGCAGAGUACUCUCAAGAAGAAAUUGAUGAAGUGCGCACCAAGGUUGCUGAAUGCAUACAAGAUCAUAUUUAUGAAUAGGUAUGUACAUGAAUUCAUUUUAUUUCAUUUAAAAGUACCUUUGCUAUUAGAAGAAAACUCGAAAACAAGAGGGACAUAAUCUUUGCUAUAUGAGCUAGCUACAUGGUGGCUUCUGCUGUCUCCCAUUGGCAGAAUUAUUGUUCAUUGCAUCUUUCCUAUACACAGUUAUCAUUGUUAGUUUCCUUGUCACGUAGUAGGUAUCCUUGAUAAUCAUGUCAAUCACUUGCAUUGUUCUUGCUCUUAUUCAUAUGAUCUAUGUCUGACUGUUCUUUCUAAAAAUCUUAUGGAUUGUUUUGAUGUAUCCCAAGGUGUACUUUGUCAUCAAGUUUUAAGUUCUGUAGGAUUUUAAAUAGCCAGCAGUAUCAGCUUCUAUUUCUGUGAGAAAAUGAUAUCACAAUUUUUCUAUUUAGUUAAACUGUGUUACAAGUGUUAAAUGUACCUGGUAAAGAUUUCUCAUAAUAAUAGUUGCAUCUAAAUUUGCUUUCCUGAAUAGUGUUGUAAAGUGCAGUCCCAUUUAGUGUGACGAUUUGGGAUAACUCAAUGGUUCUUAUGGUGAACGGCUGUGAUAUUUUACAUAGAAUAGUGUUUGGUUAACUAAUGUAUACAUAAUCUUCAAGUCUUACUUAUUCAGUUCCAUCUGAAAACAUUACCACCUGCUGCAAUUAGAUAGCCAACAAUUAGUCUUGCAUUUCUGACCACUGAUCCUGAUACUAUGAUGUACUAACCACUGAUCCUGAUACUAUGAUGCAUAAAUCUGUGGGUGUUUCUUUCUGGAGUAUCACAUCUUCAUUUGGUGCAAAAUACUCGACUUGCAUUUCUGGCACCUAUUGUUUCACACUGGUUUUAUUAGCACAGUGCAUGGGUUUAAAUUUCCUACAAAUCCAUGAAAAUAUAAUCAAAGGUUUAUUAUUGUGCAUUACUUUUAUUGUGCAUACAGUUGAAUUCAUUUUUAUAUGGAAACACAAACUCUUUUGAAAGGCCAUUCUUUUUGGAGUAUCACAUUCAUUUUACUUGUUUCACACUGGUUUUAUUAGCACAGUGCAUGGGUUUAAAUUUCCUACAAAUCCAUGAAAAUAUAAUCAAAGGUUUAUUAUUGUGCAUUAUUUUUAUUGUGCAUACAGUUGAAUUCAAUUUUAUAUGGAAACACAAACUCUUUUGAAAGGCCAUUCUUUUUGGAGUAUCACAUUCAUUUUAGUUGUUUCAUUUUACUGGUUCCUGAUUUAUUUGAAUGACUUGAUCCCUCUUUCCAUGUUCAUCUCUCUUCUCAGAAACUGGACGAACUAGAGUGCCUUAGAUUUUCAUGGAGGAUGGAUGCAUUGUACAAAUAGACAGCAGCCAAGUUUUGGUGUCUAUCCUUACAUGGAGAAACUAUCUAGCUUUGUAUAUAAUAAUACUGCAUGUUUUAUGUGUUCAUUGGAGAAACUUUUGCUAAGUCUUUUUGUAACUAUGAUGUUGGAGAAACCGUUGUUACAAUAUAUUGUAGAUGUUAUUGUCAUUUUUUAUUAAUGUGAAGUAUUUUUAUGAUGCUA